rnacentral:rRNA from 1 species
GUAGGUGGCAAGCGUUGUCCGGAAUUAUUGGGCGUAAAGCGCGCGCAGGUGGUUCUUUAAGUCUGAUGUGAAAGCCCCCGGCUCAACCGGGGAGGGUCAUUGGAAACUGGGGAACUUGAGUGCAGGAGAGGAUAGUGGAAUUCCACGUGUGGCGGUGAAAUGCGUAGAUAUGUGGAGGAACACCAGUGGCGAAGGCGACUUUCUGGCCUGUAACUGACACUGAGGCGCGAAAGCGUGGGGAGCAAACAGGGAUUAGAUACCCUGGUAGUCCACGCCGUAAACGAUGAGUGCUAAGUGUUGGGGGGGUUUCCGCCCCCUCAGUGCUGCAGCUAACGCAUUAAGCACUCCGCCUGGGAGUACGGUCGCAAGACUG